CUUUGGGGCCCCGACUGAAGGUUGGUGGGUGUCUCCUUACAGACCCACGGCCUUAUUGAUUGUCUCCUGCCUGAGUUCCCUCCCCAUCCAGGCUGGAACUGUUCCCCUCCAAAUGACAAAUGGAUCUGCCAGCCUCUGGCUUAUUUUAAUUGCCAUUUUUCCCUUCUCCUGGUGACAAAAAGACGUGAUGAAUCCAUGCUGGAGCACCCCAGACAGGAUGUGCUGGGGGCUUGGUGGGGGCAUUGCCCACCCCUAUGUAUGGAAAAACUGCUCCUUGAUCCCCCCAGUGUGGGGAAACUGAGGCACUGGAGCAGGUUAGGAGGAGAUGGGAAAUGAUCUGCAGGUGAAUGGGAGGAGAAACCAGUUUUGGGCUGCCUGUGCAUUGUAGGGGAUGAGAAGGGCAGACAACAGGAAAAAUCCUGGAGUUUUGUGGUGAGCAUGAAUCCUCAGAGCUGAGGGAUACCAGGUACCUUCUCUGGGUGAAGCAUCUGCCCUGGGGUGAAGCAUCUCAGCACUCCACCUUUUGUACGUGGGAAGGUGUUGGAGAGGAAGGAAGGUGGCAGGAGGAUUUGUCUGUUCUCUUCCAGGGCUGCAGGCAAGGCCCUGGAGGGACAGACACAGGGACAGGGGAGGACGUGCUGCUUGGCAUGGCACGCUCCACUCCCCCCGUGGCUGGAGCCUGUCACAGGGAAGAGCUGCCAGACGUGACACACACCACCCUGAAGGUGCCGCCUCGCUGCUCGCUGCCAGAGCUCCCCGGCAUCCCGCAGCGUGGAUGUUCUCCGGUUUCUGUCCUGCUGGCCAAGGCGAGGGCCGGGCCACUGCGGGGAUCGCUGCCACCGUUCCGAGGGAAGCUGCGCCUCCGUUCCAGUUCGGAGAUCGUGGCAGCGCCGCUCCCCGGAGGGCUCUUGUGGCCUCGCCUAAGUGGAGCUAAUGGAUUUCCAUGUCUCCAACAGGCAGCUGGGAUACGAGCACAUCUCGGCAGCUCGGCUGAAUGCAAAACUGCAAACAGGCAAAUGCCUCCCCAGCAGAGGGGCUCACAGCCUGGAACUGUGGGAUUGGAGAGGGAGCUCUGGGAUCCAUCCAAGGAGCCCACUGCAUCUCCUCCUCCCUCCAUCAGCCCCACCUGCUCCUCUGCGAUCUGCUCCAGCUGGGUUUGGAAAGGAAAACACACAGUUAAACCCCAAGAUGAUAUUUUUUGUUUUGUUGUUAUUAGGAUUUUUUUGUUUUGUUGUUUUUGGGGUUUUUUUUUUCUGUUUUUGGUUUGGUUUUCUUCCCAGGGAACAGCCAAUUUCUGUGGCUCUGCGACACCCAGGUAUCCUGUGGGACGAGCCCAGCUCUGCAGAGGGACCUGGAUGCCCAAGUCCCAGGGACACCAGCUGUAAUUAGAUGUUUAGAUCUAGGCCAGGGGCUCAAGGGCCAUCUGGCACCUGAAUUAUUCAUACACUUUUAUCUAAGCACAGGCAGAGCAGAGCACAGCGCUCCUUCUCCAGCCUGGGCCCAGGGGAAGAUUCCUGCUUGUGCCAGAUCGUUUUUCAUGGCCUGACAAACGUGAUCCUCUCCAGAGCUCCUUCCCAGUGCUGAGAUGCCUUUUCCCAACGCCAAACCUGCUCCAAAACACACCAGAGCUGCCAAACAGAGAUCCGUGCAGAUCCACAGAGAUCCACAGCCCCGGCAGCUGAUGCGGAGGAGGAAAAAUCCAGGAGGAGAAGUCUCCCCUAGGAAGGAGCAGUCCAGGAGUGAAAUCAGAUUAAAUGUCUAUCAGGAGGGCCCGUUCCUGUGGUGAUGUGGCCCAGUGCUCCCCCCCAAGGUGUCUUUUACCCUGUGACUCAUCUGCUGAGGAAUUUUAAUCCCUGUCUUUCUCUCCCAACCCCAGGCACCAUUGGGAAGGGGAGAGGACCUUGGAGACAGAAGUCUCUCUAUCACUUGUUGUUAAAAUGGUGCAUUUCUUCUUCAGCCAUGGAGCUGUGCCAGGUUUUACCAGAUGUAAGUG
rnacentral:lncRNA from 1 species